AAUCAUAAGAGUCGAUAAUCAGCUCGCGAACGCAGCGAGAAAUCGUAGUAUCAACCCAAUGGUUAAUAUCCUCAGGUUGAAAGGAUUUAGUAAAACAUUGGAGAUGAAAGCUUUCUAUAACGUGAGGUUUAAGUAAAGGCAGGUUCUUGGUGAUAAAAUCACGAAUAGGAAGAUCUGCUUCGUAAUGAUUCAUUCCAAACUUGAGUUUAGGAACCCACAUCCAAAGAAACUCCCAUCGUUUAGACAAAACACUAGUUGAUACAACUUCUUUUGUCGGAAGAGAGGAAAGUAUCUUGACUAGUAGUUCAUUAGGUAAGCCACUGAUUCUAUCCAUAUCUAGAACCCCAAAACAAAAGACUUCAAUUUUCAGAUCCUCUACAUUCACAACACACACACACACAAAAACACAGGUAAACACAAAUAGGACUGAAAAGGAUUUGUCUGAAAGCAGCAGAAUAAAACAGAGGAACGAGACAAAACCUAAACAGUAGAGAAAAGCUAGGAAAAGAAACCCUAGAAUAAACCUGUGAAGCUUCUUUCAAUGGAGGCUGGAUUCUCGCUCAGGAGAGUGGAGAGAAAUCAGAAGCGUAGUCACUGAGCUCUACUCUACAAUCGAUGUGAAUGUAAACUUCGAUGUGGGUAUGCAUUCUUGUAUGGGCCUUCCACAUAGGCCUUUUAAUAGCUUUCUAAAGCCCAACAACUUUUGUAUUUUCUAGUAUUGAUUUAUUUUUGGGGAAAUUUCAAAAAUACUCUUUUUCAUAUACCUCUUUUUAAAAAUACCCCAUUUUCAAACUUUAUCAAAAAACCCACUAAAAAUGUUGAAAUUUAUCCAAAUAUGUGUGUAAGCUUAUAAAUAUAUACACAAAUUACCUUUAUAUGUGUAUAAAACUUUAUACACCUUUCAUAAAUAGCGUAAAAAUAAAUUAUAAAAACCUUAUAAAAACCUUAUAAAAACCGUAUAAACCCUUUUAAAAAUCUUUUAAAAACCUUAUAAAACUUAUCAAAACUAUUUAAAACUAUUUAAAAAGUUUUAAAAUAUUUGUAUCGAAUCUCCCAGUAGUAGUUAUUAUAUAGAAGUACCUUAUAAACUGUAUAAAACUUUAUAAGUUUUUAUAUUUAAAAAGGGGUAUUUUUGAAAAUGGAUAGAUAAAGGGGGUAUUUUUAAAAAGGGUACACCAAAAGGGGUAUUUCUCAAAAAUUCUCUUUAUUUUUUGAGUUAUUAUAAAUCGAUUUGGUCUUUUCUUUUCCUUUUUUUUUUUGUAAUAUAGUCUCAUAGUCUGAUAUAUGAACUGAUAAUUAUAACUUAAACUUCCAAAAAAAUAAAAUUAGUUAGUAUAUGACAUUUGAAAAUGCAUGAUUUAAACAACAUUAUUCUCAAUCGACAAUACAAUGUUACUUUACCAAUAACGGAUUAGUUAACAACGGAGUUAACGGAUAUUAGAUGCUCUUUAUUAUCAAACUAGCAGUUGAUCCACGCUGCGCGCGGGAGGUUUAUAUAUAUUUUUUUAAUUUUUUAUUCAUAUUGUGAUAUUUUAUUUAUUUUAAUUGAUUUUCAAAACAUAUUAUAGUUAUUUUCUCUUGAAUUAUUAUCUUUCAAUAUUUAAAUUUAGAUUAAAAUCAUUUUCUUUUUCAUCAUGUUAUAAACUAAUAUUUCACUUUCAAUUUUAGUUUUACCCUUUAAGAUUUUAUAUGUACAAUUACAUAAAUGUUGUUUUUGUUCUACCAUAAACUGAAAAUUUACUUACAUUCUUAAAGUCAGUAACACAUUUAAAAUUAUAAACUAUGAUCAAUUUAAAAUUAAAGUUGAAUUAUAUUGUUACCACUAACUAAUAAUAAAUGAAAGUAUUUCUUAUUUAACAUUUCAUUUAUUUACAUAAUUUAUUUUAAUUUAUAUAAAUUUUCUAUUAAUUAAAUAAGUAGCAUAAAUAUGCACUAAAUGAAUGUUUUAAAUUUAUUUUAAUGUAGAAAAAAUGUGGUUUAUGUGGAUGCUUAGGUGGCAUCAUGAGAAGAGAGAAAAAACUAACUUUAUAUAUAUAGAUUUUAUGACAUGCAUAUUCUCUAUAAGAACAUGAACCAUAACUAACUUAAAAUUUUUGGUUGUAUAUGAGAUUUUUCAAGUGGCAUUUGGCAGUUGUCAAUGUAGAUUCGGCCAAAACACAAACGGUUUAGGUUUCGAACUGAAUUUUGGGUUGGUCCAGAUUACUAUAUGCAUGGUAUCAUUUUUUAUAUACGUAAAAAUAUUUGGCAAUUAAUUUGGGUUGUGUGAUAUUUUUUCCAAACCAUGUUUCAACUUCUUCAAUCUUUUUAUAAUCUUUUAUGUUAAUUUUAUGUUAAGAAACUCAUUACAAACUCCAUUGGAGAUGUUCUAUGGUCCAAAUCCAAUGCAAUUAUAGAAUUGAUAAAAAUGAAAAUUGUCUUUCUACUUUAUCCAAUGCAAAUCCAAAUCCAAUGCAAUGCAAUUAUAGAAUUGAUAUAUCUUAGUAGCCCUGCGGAUAAAACCCGACUCAAAACUACCGACCCGACCUGAUCCAAUUUUUUCGGGUUUCGGUUUGAUCCAAUUUGAGAUUCGGUUUUAUUCAAAGAGGUUAAGAUUUGUGUUCGAGUAUCCGACCCGAUGACCGUUUAAAAAAAAAAGAACUACAGUAAAACCUUUAUAAAUUAGUAAACACUAUAAAUUAAUAAAUUUUGUUGGUCCCAAGUCGGGCCAAUGUCAAAAUUGACCAAAUUCGAUAAGAUAAUAAGAUAAUAAUUAUUUUGACACCCCCAUGUAAAAUAUAGUCCCAAUAAUAUGAUAAAUUUAUAAUCACUCUAUAAAUACAUAUAAGUAGAUAUAUUCAUAUAUGUUUUUAGGGUUUUAUAAAAAUGAAUUUUCUCUUAGAGUUCACCUCAAUAAAUAAUUUUAUGUUAGUAUUUUUUUUAAACAGUAAUCUUGUAAUAUAUAUAUAUAUAUAUCAUCACAAGUUAUAAAAAUAACAAAAUAUUCUUUAUGUUUUCAAUUUUUAAAUAUGCAUCAUGUUGUUGAAAAAAAACAAAUAUGCAUCAUAUUCGUUUUUCAUAUAUAGGAUGUUAAAAUAUAACAAUUGAGGUUAUUAAUAGAGAAAUACAUUUGAAUUUAUGUAUAUCAUUUGUGUAAGUGAAUUUAUCUAUAAUAUUUGUAUUUGUAGUCAAAUUUCUCUGUUUCCUAAAUAUAAUAUUCACUUUCAAACUACUGUAUAAUUUAUAAAAUUUAAAAGAUUAGUCUUAUUUUUGUAAAAUUGUGUCAAUUCUUAUUUUUCUAAAAAUUGGAAAACUAAAAAUACCACUAUAAAUUAAUAAUUAUUAAUUUACACUAUAAAAUAAGAAUUAUAGAUUUAUAGAUAAAUUAAUAUCACUAUAAAUUAAUAAAAUAUCUUGGUCCCAACAUUAUUAAUUUAUAGAAGUUUUACUGUAUACCCAAAAUAGACCGAGUUUUAACCUGUUUUAAGCGUGAUUUUAACCAGUUUUUGUAUUUAACCUGUUUUGGAUUUUUGUUCGAUUAAUUUUGGUAUAGCUUUUGAAACCCUCAAAAUACCCGAAAACCCCAACUCGAACCUACCCGAUAACCCGAACUCGCGCGGCUAUAUCUUACGAACCACAACCUGCGUUCCUCUACCCUCAUUGGAGAAUGACCAUUUUCAAGUCAACUAGAUAAGUUUGCUACUCCUUUCUUUUGCUUUGCAGCAUCUUUAAGACUUUAUAUUUAUAGAAAUAUGUAGUUAAUCAAAUCCAAACCAAAAUUUUCUUUCAUAAAUCGUUUGAUUACUGAAACCCAAAACAAUUUUUCGUUGUUCUGCACCCAAACACCAAACAUAUACAUACUUCAAGGUUGAUUAAGGAAUCUAUGUUAUCAUCAAAGAGAGAUGAAUAUCAAGUACAUGUUUCGAGUGAAAGCAAGUUCCACAAUACAGUUAAGUAUCAAGUUCAUUCUUAGACAACAACAAAAAGAGCCUAAAACGCAGAGAUCGAUACGACAACUCCUUGAUCAUUUUCGAAGUUUCUACUCUCGGACAUAACGGGAUAAGCGCGAAACUGAUGAAGACUUAAGAUGGCAAGCAUGUUUGAAGAUAUAACUCACGAAAUCUCUUUCUUCUGGUCUUCCCGUGUACCCAGCAAACUCGAAAAUUUCAAGACUAUCCAACAAACAUUUAGGAACAGAGGUCUCAUCGUUGUAUUUCCAGCUAACAUGUUCAUAGUCCUCAUCAAAGAAUGGAUCAACCUGAGAUUAAAAAAGAAGAGAAUUAGUAAGACAAUACUAUAGAAGGCUUUUAGAUUGUAACCAAAGAAACUUACAUCGACAAGAAGUUUGAUGACUCGUAGUUUAGGAGAAUCUUCGAGCAUCCGUAAAAGUAACUUCGACCAAUUAUCUCGGCAUAUAUGUAGCUUCAAAUGUUCAAGCUGAUUGAAGACAAUCCCAUAAUGAUACAGAUUCUGCAAACAAAAACAAAUUGAAUCUCAAGAAAAGAAAAAAACAAUUGAGCAUUUUAAGGGAUAGUAGAAAGAAGUACCUCGUCUUCAAUGUUGAGUAGUACGGAUAACGAAAGGCGUUUGACAGAUGUGACUGCUUCAAAAAGCUUCUCAACGUGUUCCUCAACACUGAGUUUUGCUUCCUCCAGAUUUGGCAUAUGCAUAAUCAAAUAGAAGAAGUCUUCUGCAUAAAGGCCAGGAACAUCGAUGUGGGUAUUCUUGUAUGGGCCUUCAACAUGGCCUUUUAAUAGGUUUCUUGAGCCCGACAACUUUUGUAUGUUUUAGUAUUCAUUUUUUCUUUUUUCUUUUUUCUUUUGAGUUACUAGGUAAUGUCUGCGCGGGUUGUUGUAUAUUUAUUUAAUUAUUUUAAUUUAUUUAUUACUUAUAAAAAAUAGAUUAAAUAAAUUUUAAUGUUUAUGACAUUUUUACAUUUUAUUUUUUAAAAUCAUACAAUAGAAGCAUACAUAUCUUUUGAAUUUAUUCGUUGAUUAAAUGUUCAAUUUUGAUAGUAAUUUUCUUUAGUGCUUUUAAGUAUUUUUUUAUAAAACAAUAAUAUUUUUAAUGAUAAAAAUAGGAAUGAUAUUGGGAGAAUUUAAAAAAUACCCUUUUAAAAAUACCACUUUUUAAAUUUACCCCCUUUUCAAACUUUAUCAAAACAACCACUAAAAAUGUUACAAUUUAUGAGAAUUUUUGAGAAAUACCCCUUUUUGGUGUACCCCUUUUGGUGUACCCCUUUUAAAAAAUACCCCUCUUUUCUAUCCAUUUUCAAAAAUACCCCUUUUCAAAUAUGAAAUAUUAUAAACUUUUAUAUGGUUGAUAAGGUACAUCAAGAUCAUCAUUACUACUGGAAGACUAAAUCCAAAUAUUUAUAAGGUUUUAAAAGGUUUCAAACGGCAUUUAUAAGGUUUUUAUAAGGUUUUUAAAAGGUUUACAUAGUUGUUAUAAGGUUUUUAAAUGAUUUUUAAAAGGUUUUUAAAAGGUAUUUAUACAGCAUUUAUGAAAUAUAUAUAUAUAUAUAUAUAAAUUUACACACAUUUAAAGAUAAUUCGUGUCUAUAAAUAUAAGUUUAAACAUAUGUUUUUGAUAAAUUUCAAAUUUUAUAGUGAUUUUUUGAUAAAAUUAGAAAGAGGGGUAUUUUUAAAAAGUAGUAAUGGAAAAGGGGUUUUUUUGAAAUUCCCCCUAAAGUUAUCCAUAUAUGUGUGUAAACUUAUAAAUAUACACACAAAUUACCUUUAUUUGUGUAUAAAAUUUUAUUAUUUCAAUGUCUUACAAAUUGGUUUGAAUAUAACCAAAAGUGAUUUUGUUAAAAUAAUUACAUACUUUAAAAAUAAAAUAAAUAUACAUGAAUUCGUGAGAAAGAAAAAAACAUAUAAAGUAAAACAAUGAAGAUGGUUUAUUUAGCUUGAUUUUCUUAUGGGGCGAUGGUCAGAAAUCAAUAUUUUUGAAUCCCAUUGAUAAAGUAAUUUCCUUAUAGCCAUAAAAUAUUAUUAUACAUAUGUAUUAUAUAUUUAAUAGUAUAAAAACAAUGAAUGAAGAAGUACAUAAAAUAAAGAAGAAAUAUAAUUGAAAACAAAAUUUUUAACCAAAUAUAUAAUCAAGCUCUUACAAUGAUAUCUUAAUUGAGCUUUCAACCCAUGCAAGAACAUUAAAAAUUAAACAAAGAAAAUAUUGAGAAUAUCAGAUAUGGUGGAGGAGGAUGUAAAAAUGAGUAUUUAUAGGAUAAAAUAUGAUGUAAGUUAUAAUUCUAAAAUAAUUAAAUUAGAGAAGUUAUACUUAUAUUUUAUAGUGUGUUAAUUGAAAUUGAAUGGAGGAAACAAAUAGUCAAUUGAAAGGUUAUAUAAUUUAAGUUACAAUUUAAUAGUAAAGCGUGGAUUUCAAGUAUGAAUUAAAGUAUAUGACUAAAUGUGUUAGGUAUUUGGUUUAAUUAAAAAUAAAUAUUAUAAUUAAAAAAUAAAUGCUAAAUAGACCAAUAAGGAGAAACCUUAAAAAAUUCCCAAAGAAUAAUUUUAUUUUUUAAUUUGAUUUUAUAUUCCUCUUAAUUUAAGCUAUAUCUCUAGGUUUAAUUAUAUUUUUCAUCAUUGUAGUAUAUAUAAUAGAUAGAAAAUUGAAUAUCAAAUUUUUUUUUAUAUAGGAAAUCAAGUAUAAAAUUCAAAGUUAACAANNNNNNNNNNNNNNNNNNNNNNNNNNNNNNNNNNNNNNNNNNNNNNNNNNNNNNNNNNNNNNNNNNNNNNNNNNNNNNNNNNNNNNNNNNNNNNNNNNNNAUAACAAAAAGUUUAUUUUGUUAAAAAAUUACAUACUUUUGAAAUUAAAAUAAAUAUACAUGAAUAUGUGAGAAAGAAACAAAUAUCCACUGUGAAAUAAUGAAGCUGGUUUCUUUAGCUUGAUUUUCUUAUAACCAUAAAAUAUUAUUAUACAUAUGUAUUACAUUUAAAAAUAUAAAAAACAAUGAAGACAUAAAGAAAUACAUAAAAACAAAAAAUAAAUAAAAUUGAAAAAAAAGUUUAAACUAAAUAAUUAAUCAAACUCUUACAAUGAUUUUUUAAAUGAGUUUUCACCUCAUGCAAGAACUUUUAAAAAAAAACAAAGAGAAUAAUGAAGAUAUGAGAUAUGAGAUAUGGUAGAAAAGGAUGUGAGAAUGGCUAUUUAUAUGAUAAGAAGUGAUGUAAGUUNNNNNNNNNNNNNNNNNNNNNNNNNNNNNNNNNNNNNNNNNNNNNNNNNNNNNNNNNNNNNNNNNNNNNNNNNNNNNNNNNNNNNNNNNNNNNNNNNNNNNNNNNNNNNNNNNNNNNNNNNNNNNNNNNNNNNNNNNNNNNNNNNNNNNNNNNNNNNNNNNNNNNNNNNNNNNNNNNNNNNNNNNNNNNNNNNNNNNNNNNNNNNNNNNNNNNNNNNNNNNNNNNNNNNNNNNNNNNNNNNNNNNNNNNNNNNNNNNNNNNNNNNNNNNNNNNNNNNNNNNNNNNNNNNNNNNNNNNNNNNNNNNNNNNNNNNNNNNNNNNNNNNNNNNNNNNNNNNNNNNNNNNNNNNNNNNNNNNNNNNNNNNNNNNNNNNNNAUUGUCAUAAACAUUUAUUUAUUUAUUUAUUUUGUUGAAUGAUAUAUGAUUAAGUCCUUUCAUUUUCUUUGCCAUUUGAUUAUAACUUAUAGUGUAAUUAAAAUUUGUAUUGAAUGAUUGUCAUAAACAUUUAUUUUAUUUUUUUUAAAUUAAAGCCUUAAAUAUUUUUCCACCAAUAAGGAGAGAGUGAAACCUUACUUUUAUAUAUAUGAUUAACUUAUUAUUAUAAAUCGAUUUGGUCUGUGUUUUUUUGGUAGUUUAAUCUCUAAUAAAUGAACUGAUAACUAUAACUAAAACUUAAAAAGAAAAUUUUAUUUUGUGGUAUAUAUAUAAUAAAAAAUAAUUUGUUUUCCACGUAAGUUACAGUUUGAAUUUUUGAAAACCGACAUAUAUUACAGAUAUUGGAACGGUUGUAAGAAGAGAUGGAUUGUAAGCCGAGAAGGAUUUAAAUUACAUACUCCCUCUGUUUCACAAAAAGUGUCAUUUUAAAGUUUUAUUUUUGUUUCACAAAAGUGUCAUUUUACAUUUUCAAUGCAUCUUUUACACAGGUGUGGUGCGAUGCAUGAUUGGCUGUAAUUUUAGAGAUAUUGUUUUUCUUACUGACUAAUCGGACUUGGUGAAGAUGGUGUCUCCUCCUCAUGAGUGGCCGGCGUUCUCUGUAUACCUAGAAGAUAUCAACAAUGACAGGGAGGAAUUUUCAUCAUUUUCUAUAUCUUUUAUUCCUAGAAAUUUGAAUGUAAAAGCGGAUUCCUUGGCUCGCAAAGCCCGUUCUACUCUGCAUAUUGUCAAGUUUGUAAACAAUUGUCCACCGAGUUGGCUCACUUGAGUCUUCUCCUCAGUUCGUUGAUGACAAAACAAAAAAAAUGCAUCUUUUACACUAAACAUCCUAAUUUUACUCUUAAUCUAAAACUAACUAAACCCCUACAUCACUUAUUAAAUAAGAACAUAUGUGUAUAUUUUAAUGCUUUCUUAAUUUUUGUGAUAUGUGUCAAAUUGACAUUCUUUGUGAAACAGAAAGAGUAUAAAGUAAAAUAUUUAAAAUAUUUUGAAACUAACUUUUAAAAAGUUUAAGUGUUAGUAAUAUUUUAACUCUACAUCAAGUUUAAACUAAAUCAUUAUUGACCUAGUCAUAAUUUUGAACAUGCAUUUAAUUUUUCAACGAUUAUAUGACGGGAUGGUUGUAAUAUGGUUCGAACAUAUUAUAUGACGGAACAGGUUGUAAGACGAGACGAGUUUGAAUUGAUAUUACUAAAAUAAUAAAAUAUUAUUAAACACAUACUUCAAUACUGAUGGAAUCUUCAUUUUACUAUUUUUAAAACAAUAUUAGUAUAGGAUAUGUAUAAUCAAACUGAUUUAGUAAAAAUUAAUAAUAUGCAAUUUUAUUAAUUAUUAAAUGAAUUUAAACUCUGUGAAUUUUGUAAAAUGUGAAUUAAAAUAAAUGUUUGACCUCUAGUGUACCACGAGUUAAAAUCUAAUUAGAAUUAAAAAAAUUAAAAAAAUAGUUAUAUCAAAUUUUGAAAAUAACGAUAUUUUUCUCAAUUGACAAAACAAUGUUAUUUUAGAGCAAUACUUGGGUUCACUCCUAGGGGUGAACCAACCUUAUUCACCCCCUAUUGAUUAACCAAUCAAAAUAAAACAAUAUGCCAUGUCAUAUUAUAUUUAAAAAUAAAUCAAAAAUAAAAUAAACCUUAACCACUCUUUUAUAACCCGAACCAAAAUAUAAUUUUUUUAAUUACAAAAUUGAAACCCUAACCACUAUUUUAUAAACCCAAACCAAAAUAAAAUGUCGUCUUAUAACAAAAUUUAAACCCUAAUUACUAUUUUGUCAACCCAAACCGAAAUAUAAUGUUGUUUUAAUUACAAAAAUCUAAACCCUAACCAUUAUUUUCUCAACCCAAACCGAAAUAUAAUUUUGUCUGAUUACAAAAUCUAAACCCUAGCCACUAAUUUUUCAACGCAAACCGAAAUAUAAUUUCGUUUAAUUACAAAAUUUAAACCCUAACCACUAAUUUGUCAACCCAAACCGAAAUAUAAUUUUGUUUAAUUAUAAAAUCUAAACCUUAACCACUAUUUUAUAAACUCAAACCAAACUAUAUUUCCUUAAUAAAAAUCCUACAGAAUUUGUUUCCAUAGUUUGAUUUGUUUUCUUUUAUUUUAAUUUUGAUUUACUUUUGUAAAUAAAAAUGAUGUGGCAUAUUGUUGUAUUUUAAUUGGCUAAUUAAGAGGGGGUGAACAAGAGUGGUUCACCCCAUACUUUUGGUUAUUUUAUUAAUAACGGAUUAGUCAAUGGAGUAAACGGAUGUUAGAUGCUCUUUAUUAUCAAAUUUUAUGAUAUGCCACAUUAUGAAAUAACUGUGUAUGUGGACUAUUACAAGACCAAACAGCCCAAAAUGGCCAGAUGCCCAGAUACAAAUAGCUAAAAAUACAAGGUCAAACAGACCAAACAAGGCCACAGGCUGGCGGAUGCAGAAUUGUUUUUACCUGGGGCACAAAGUGUAUAUAUAUAUCAAUUUCAAGAUGAAAAAUAAACUUUCAAUUUAUCAAAAAGUAUAUCUAUAUAUAUAUUUAAUAUUUUCUUAUAUAUAUUUUCUUAUUUAAUAUAUAUAUAUAUAUAUAUUAGAUAUUUAGAUUUACUUAUCUAACCGUAUCACACAAACUUAAACACUAAAAAUAAAUAUAUAUAUAUAUAUAUAUAUAUAUAUAUAUAUAUUAAUUACAAAAUGAUAAUAUUCUUAAUGUUACUAAUUUGCUAGUUUUACUAUCAAUUUGAUAAACAAGAUAUAUGUAUACUACACCAAAAAAAAUGAAUUAGUUUUUCUAAAAUUAAACUGGAAAUAGAAAAAAUAAAUAUCUAAAAUUGAUAAAAGCAUAUAAUUUUAUAGUACUAAUGAGCAAAAGGAGGCCCAAACUCACGUUGGUAAUGCUGAAAAAUUAAGCAAAUAGUACUAGUGUGCAACGGAGGCUCGAACUCACGUUGGCAAUGCCAAAUAGCUAUGUGCCAGUUGUGCUAAAUGACACAUUUGCGUAUAACUACUUGUUAAGUUCCACAUUACAGUUAGAUACCAAGUUCAUUCUUGGACAACAACAACAGCAAGAAGCCUAUAAUACAGAGAUCGAUACUACAACUCCAUGCUCAUUUUCCAAGUUUCUAUUCUCGGAUAUAACGUGAUAAGCGCGAAAUCGAUGAAGACUUCAGAUGACAAGCAUGUUUCAUGAUAUAACUCACGAAAUCCCUCUCUUCUGGUCUUCCCGUGUACCCAGCAAACUCAAAAAUUUCAAGACUAUCCAACAAACAUUUGGGAACAGAGGUCUCAUCGUUAUAUUUCCAGCUAACAUGUUCAUAGUCCUCAUCAUACUCUGGAUCACCCUGAGAUUAUAUAUUUAUUUAAGAAAAAGAAGAGAAUUAGUAAGACAACACUAUAGAAUGCUUUUAGAUUGUAACCUAAGAAACUUACAUUAACUAGAAGCUUGAGGACUCGUAGUUUAGGAGAAUCCUCGAGCAUCCGUACAAGUAACUUUGACCAAUUAUCGCGGUAUAUUUCUAGCUUCAGAUGUUCAAGGUGAUUGAAGACAAUCCCAUAAUGAUACAUAUUCUGCAAACAUAGAUCAAAUUCAGUCUCAAGAAAAGAUAAAUAACAAUUUAAUAUCUCAAGUGAUAUUAAAAAGAAGUACCUCGUCUUCAAUGUCAAGUAGUACAGAUAACGAAAGGCGCUUGACAGAUGUGAUUGAUUCGAAAAGCUUUUCAACAUCUUGCUCAACAAAGAGAUCUGCUUCUUCAACCUUAGGCAUAUGCGUAAUCAAAUAGGAGAAACGUUCUCCAUAAAGACUCGGAACUUCGAAAUACUUCAAAGAAGGAGUAACUAUGACAUAUCCAUCACAUGAAUAUCCACCAUCUAUAGGCAAAGUUAGUCUCAGUAAAGAUGGAACCAUAACAACUAAGGUUUUCACAUUGUCAUGUCUAUUUCUUUCAAUAAUCAACUCUUCAAGAACAGGACAAUACGAAAGAAGCAGUUUAAGGGAAUCUUCAUUCGAGUACACCACACAAUGAAGCUCCAGAGUUUUCAAAGAAGGAAGACAAACCGUUCGAGGAACAUCCACAAUAAUUUCACAGGUAAGUUUCAAAGUCACAAGCGAAUUGCAAGUGUACAAGCUACUUGGUAAUAAUGCAACAGGUUUGCCAAUGUAUGACAAAUCACAACAGUCGAUGAUCAGCUCAAGAACAUUGCGAGAAAUCGAAGUAUCGACCCAAAGCUUUAUAUCCUCAGGUGGAAAUGAUGUAGUAAAACAUUGGAGAUGAAAGCUUUCUAUAACGUGAGGUUUAAGUAAAGGCAGGUUCUUGGUGAUAAAAUCACGAAUGGGAAGAUCUGGUUUGAAAUGAUUCAUCACGAACUUGAGUUUAGGAACCCACAUCCAAAGAAACUCCCAUCGUUUAGACAAAACACUAGUUGAUACAACUUCUUUUGUCGGGAGUAAGGAC
rnacentral:lncRNA from 1 species